CAGAAUUGUGUGCACUCUGUAACAUCUUUGUGGUAGUCCUGUUUUCCUAAUAACUUUGUUACUGUGCUGUGAAAGAUUACAGAUUUGAACAUGUAGUGUACGUGCUGUUGAGUUGUGAACUGGUGGGCCGUAUGUAACAGCUGACCAACGUGAAGAUACUGGUACUUGAUAGCCUCUUAAGGAAAAUUUGCUUCCAAAUUUUAAGCUGGAAAGUCACUGGAAUAACUUUAAAAAAGAAUUACAAUACAUGGCUUUUUAGAAUUUCGUUACGUAUGUUAAGAUUUGUGUACAAAUUGAAAUGUCUGUACUGAUCCUCAACCAAUAAAAUCUCAGUUAUGAAA
rnacentral:lncRNA from 1 species